AGAAGAGCAGAGGAACAGUGAAUAAUUCUCCAGCUGACGGAUUCAGGUGAGACCUUCACCUGCAGUCACAUGACCAAGCAGCGGCAAACCUCACUGAGCUGAAACUUUUCUGAUUGGUCCUUUACAGGUUCACUCUGAGUGCUGAUUGGCUGCAGAGGCUCACCUGCAUGCAUAUAAAGCCAGAGAGGGCGGAGCAAGGGGCAUGCUUUUAGUAUUUAGUUUCAGGGCGAAGUCUGAAUGGGACAGCGCCAUGUCGCCGCUUCCUGCUCGUUUUCCUCUUCUCUCUGCCUCAUCGGGGCUCCCGGGGCCUCGUCUCAGAGGGCGCUGAUGAGUGUAGAGGAGUACAACAUGAGAGGACCGAGUACUGAGCCCUGUGGAACACCCUCAAGAAAACUACCACACUAACAGUCACACACAUUCAGGUCAAAACCAAUGAAGCCAGGUGUGUCACGUGAACAUCUGUCCUGCCCAAAGGCUGGACUAAAACCAGCGCUCAGCUAACGAGUGACACCUGAACAUUUAUGAGAUUUCUAAACCUUUCCCCAAGCAGUGGAUCAGCAGUUGUGCUCAAUCGUGUCACCACUUUCAUGGAAAGGCCGUACACGUGCUGCUUUUCAUACAGCAGAAAUAUCCACAGAUACAAGGCGUAACCUGGAAACACAGCUGUACAGAGUUAAGGUCUCAGUGUGAGCAGAAGAUUUAAAAAUGUCAGCCGAGCUGCAUUAAAUCCACUCUGUGACGGAACGCUAACAAAAAAAUCAGUCCAGUUCCUCGAAUGAAAGAUGAAAAUCUGCACUUCAAGCAUCUGUUUGGUUUUUAAAUCCACUGUGGUGAGAGAGGAAAAACCCCACACUGCAUCACUGUGACAAAAGCACAGCUGUGGAAACAUCUGGGCUGCACCGCCCAGAGUUCCACCUUCUGGCUGCAGUAGUGAGUUACAUCACAAUGGACACUUAUCAGUGGGACAGAAACUAUUCUUUUACUGAUUUAAUGACAGUUCAAACACAGUCUUCUGUGCUGACGUCACUGUGAGUCGCCUCAGGUGUUACAGCUAAACCUCAGGUGCAGUGAUAACAGUCCAGGGUUUUUCCUGCAUCCAGAAAACAGCUUUUCUUCUUCUUCGUUUUAAAAAAAUCUGUUUAAUUUCCUCAGCAGUAAAUAUGAUAUCUGGUAACAGGAACAGUACGUGGCUCUCCUGAAGGCAAAACUGUGACGAGCAAAAACCCUGAAGACCCAUCGAGUCAGCUGGUGUUACUUACAGGUCCAAAGGCUUGCUCGCCAACGACUAAAAACCCAGAGAUUUACCGCCAUCCUGCUCGCUCUCUUCCGAGCUUCCUGCCAGGGUUGCCGACUCCUCUUCCUUCUUCUAACAUCCAGAGACUCGUAGCCAAUGGCGUGUGCUGCUCACUGAACUUAGACCCUGAAAGAAGUGGCGAGGGCACCGAGUGGGAACGAAA